ensembl:lncRNA
GAUCUCUGGCUAAUAUAAAUGUAUUAAAGUCCUGGGGAGAUUUCCUUACCAAGCUAACCAAGGUGGGCUGGAUUUAUACUUGAAGAAAUUCAUUCAUGAUUGCUCAGAUAUUCUGAGUAAAGUAAACCUGUGGAAACUAAGGCUUGAAGAGACUGGGAUAACUACCAUAAAUCAUUGAAAAACUCUUCCUGUUUAAGCUAAAAAUUAUUAUCGCCAACUAUGCUUCACAGACCAACUAUAGUUUUUUAGUUUUCUUCUGGAUCGUAUCACAUCUUGAGGGGUGACUCCUAAGCAGAGCAAAGUAUCCAAGCAGCAGCUUUAAUCGGUAAGAAGAGUGGAAGGUUUAUCUUGCAUAUCUUGCAGCACUUCUGUUUAUACAUCUCAGUAUGUUUGCCUUUUUCACAAGA